rnacentral:rRNA from 1 species
CCUACGGGUGGCAGCAGUGGGGGAUAUUGCACAAUGGGGGAAACCCUGAUGCAGCGACGCCGCGUGGGCGAAGAAGUAUUUCGGUAUGUAAAGCCCUAUCAACAGGGAAGAAAAAAUGACGGUUCCUGAGUAAGAAGCACCGGCUAAAUACGUGCCAGCAGCCGCGGUAAUACGUAGGGUGCAAGCGUUAUCCGGAUUUACUGGGUGUAAAGGGCGCGCAGGCGGCACGGGAAGCCAGAUGUGAAAGCCCGGGGCCCAACCGCGGGAUUGCAUUUGGAACUAGCGGGCUGGAGUGCAGGAGAGGUAGGCGGAAUUCCUAGUGUAGCGGUGAAAUGCGUAGAUAUUAGGAGGAACACCAGUGGCGAAGGCGGCCUACUGGACGGUGACUGACGCUGAGGCUCGAAAGCGUGGGGAGCAAACAGGAUUAGAUACCCUAGUAGUC